ACCUCAAAUCAGGUAGGACUACCCGCUGAACUUAAGCAUAUCAAUAAGCGGAGGAAAAGAAACUAACAAGGAUUCCCCUAGUAACUGCGAGUGAAGCGGGAAAAGCUCAAAUUUAAAAUCUGUCAGUCUUUGGCUGUCCGAGUUGUAAUCUAGAGAAGCGUUAUCCGCGCUGGACCGU
rnacentral:rRNA from 1 species